UAAUGGGUCAGCGACUUAUAUUCUGUAGCAAGGUUAACCGAAUAGGGGAGCCGAAGGGAAACCGAGUCUUAACUGGGCGUUAAGUUGCAGGGUAUAGACCCGAAACCCGGUGAUCUAGCCAUGGGCAGGUUGAAGGUUGGGUAACACUAACUGGAGGACCGAACCGACUAAUGUUGAAAAAUUAGCGGAUGACUUGUGGCUGGGGGUGAAAGGCCAAUCAAACCGGGAGAUAGCUGGUUCUCCCCGAAAGCUAUUUAGGUAGCGCCUCGUGAAUUCAUCUCCGGGGGUAGAGCACUGUUUCGGCAAGGGGGUCAUCCCGACUUACCAACCCGAUGCAAACUGCGAAUACCGGAGAAUGUUAUCACGGGAGACACACGGCGGGUGCUAACGUCCGUCGUGAAGAGGGAAACAACCCAGACCGCCAGCUAAGGUCCCAAAGUCAUGGUUAAGUGGGAAACGAUGUGGGAAGGCCCAGACAGCCAGGAUGUUGGCUUAGAAGCAGCCAUCAUUUAAAGAAAGCGUAAUAGCUCACUGGUCGAGUCGGCCUGCGCGGAAGAUGUAACGGGGCUAAACCAUGCACCGAAGCUGCGGCAGCGACGCUGAUGCGUUGUUGGGUAGGGGAGCGUUCUGUAAGCCUGCGAAGGUGUGCUGUGAGGCAUGCUGGAGGUAUCAGAAGUGCGAAUGCUGACAUAAGUAACGAUAAAGCGGGUGAAAAGCCCGCUCGCCGGAAGACCAAGGGUUCCUGUCCAACGUUAAUCGGGGCAGGGUGAGUCGACCCCUAAGGCGAGGCCGAAAGGCGUAGUCGAUGGGAAACAGGUUAAUAUUCCUGUACUUGGUGUUACUGCGAAGGGGGGACGGAGAAGGCUAUGUUGGCCGGGCGACGGUUGUCCCGGUUUAAGCGUGUAGGCUGGUUUUCCAGGCAAAUCCGGAAAAUCAAGGCUGAGGCGUGAUGACGAGGCACUACGGUGCUGAAGCAACAAAUGCCCUGCUUCCAGGAAAAGCCUCUAAGCAUCAGGUAACAUCAAAUCGUACCCCAAACCGACACAGGUGGUCAGGUAGAGAAUACCAAGGCGCUUGAGAGAACUCGGGUGAAGGAACUAGGCAAAAUGGUGCCGUAACUUCGGGAGAA
rnacentral:rRNA from 1 species